GCAAACAAGAGCGCAUGGUGGAUGCCUUGGCUCUGAGAGGCGAUGAAGGACGUGAUAAGCUGCGAUAAGCUGCGGGGAUUGGCACAUACGAUACGAUCCGCAGAUUUCCGAAGGGGCAACCUGCCAUAUUGAAGAUAUGGUAUCAUCUUUUAAGAUGAAGCGAACCCGGGGAACUGAAACAUCUAAGUACCCGGAGGAAGAGAAAACAAAAGUGAUUCCGUGAGUAGUGGCGAGCGAAAGCGGAACAGCCCAAACCAUGACGGUUCAGCCUGUCAUGGGGUUGUAGGACUACAAUAUGGAAGAUGUUUGUAUAGUAGAAUGAUCUGGAAAGUUCAAUCAUAGAGGGUGAUAAUCCCGUAUACGAAAUGCAAAUGUUACCUAGUAGUAUCCUGAGUAGGGCGGGACACGUGAAAUCCUGUCUGAAUCUGCCGGGACCAUCCGGUAAGGCUAAAUACUCCUCAGAGACCGAUAGCGAACUAGUACCGUGAGGGAAAGGUGAAAAGUACUUCGAAUAGAAGAGUGAAAUAGUUCCUGAAACCAUGCGCUUACAAGCGGUCGGAGCCCUUUCGUGGGGUGACGGCGUGCCUUUUGCAUAAUGAACCUACGAGUUAAUCUCACCGGCAAGGUUAAACAGUUCAGCUGUGGAGCCGAAGCGAAAGCGAGUCUGAAUAGGGUGUAUAGUCGGUGGGAUUAGACGCGAAACCGAGUGAUCUAUCCAUGGGCAGGUUGAAGCUGUGGUAACACACAGUGGAGGACCGAACCGGUUGACGUUGAAAAGUCUUCGGAUGACCUGUGGAUAGGGGUGAAAGGCUAAUCAAACUCGGAGAUAGCUCGUACUCCCCGAAAUGCAUUUAGGUGCAGCAUCGUGCUAAGUAUUACAGAGGUAGAGCUACUGAUUGGAUGCGGGGGUUUCAUCGCCUACCAAUUCCUGACAAACUCCGAAUACUGUAAUAUGUUUCACGGUAGUGAGGGCAUGGGUGCUAAGGUCCAUGUCCGAAAGGGAAAGAACCCAGACCAACAGCUAAGGCCCCCAAGUAUAUGCUAAGUUGAUCAAACGAAGUUCAGUUGCACAGACAGCUAGGAUGUUAGCUUGGAAGCAGCUAUUCAUUUAAAGAGUGCGUAACAGCUCACUACUCGAGCGACUGAGCAUGGAUAAUAAUCGGGCAUAAGCAUAUCGCCGAAGCUAUGGGAUCGAAAGAUCGGUAGGGGAGCAUUGUAACGACUUUGAAGCUGUGUCGUGAGGCAUGGUGGAGUUUUUACAAAAGAAAAUGUAGGUAUAAGUAACGAUAAUGCGGGAGAGAAACCCGCACACCGUAAGACCAAGGUUUCCUCAGCCAUGCUAAUCAGCUGAGGGUUAGUCGGGGCCUAAGGUGAAGCCGAAAGGUGUAAUCGAUGGACAAGCGGUUAAUAUUCCGCUACUUGCUUUUAUUGCGAUGGGGUGACGGGGUACUGAAACUGUCGCGUGCGGACGGAAGUGCACGUUGAAAUAGUUAGGUAUAAGAUGUAUAGGCAAAUCCGUAUAUCUUGCUGAGCUAUGAUAGUACCACAAGCCUUCGGGUGCGUGGAUAGUACAGGUAAGGACCUCCAAGAAAAACCUCUAAGCUUCAGAUAAAAGCAACCCGUACCAAAACCGACACAGGUGGUCGAGGAGAGUAUCCUAAGGUGCUCGAGUGAUUCACGGCUAAGGAACUAGGCAAAAUAGACCUGUAACUUCGGGAGAAAGGUCGCCUUCCAUUAGGAAGGCCGCAGCGAAAAGGUCCAGGCGACUGUUUAUCAAAAACACAGGACUCUGCCAAAUCGAAAGAUGAUGUAUAGGGUCUGACACCUGCCCGGUGCUGGAAGGUUAAGGAAGGGGGUUAGCUUCGGCGAAGCUCUUGACUGAAGCCCCAGUAAACGGCGGCCGUAACAAUAACGGUCCUAAGGUAGCGAAAUUCCUUGUCGGGUAAGUUCCGACCUGCACGAAUGGUGUAACGAUCUGGACACUGUCUCAGCCGUGAGCUCGGUGAAAUUGAAGUAUCGGUGAAGAUGCCGAUUACUCGCAAUGGGACGAAAAGACCCCGUGAACCUUUACUAUAGCUUCGUAUUGACUUUGGGUAAACAAUGUGUAGGAUAGGUGGGAGACUUUGAAGCGUCAUCGCCAGGUGGCGUGGAGUCAUCCUUGAAAUACCACCCUUUGUUUAUCUGGAGCCUAACUCGGAAACGAGGACAUUGCGUGGUGGGUAGUUUGACUGGGGUGGUCGCCUCCAAAAAAGUAACGGAGGCUCCCAAAGGUACCCUCAACACGUUUGGUAAGCGUGUGUAGAGUGUAAUAGCAUAAGGGUGCUUGACUGUGAGACCAACAAGUCGAUCAGGUACGAAAGUAGGGUAUAGUGAUCCGGUGGUUUCUGUAUGGAAAGGCCAUCGCUCAAAGGAUAAAAGGUACUCCGGGGAUAACAGGCUAGUCUCCCCCAAGAGCUCACAUCGACGGGGAGGUUCGGCACCUCGAUGUCGGCUCGUCACAUCCUGGGGCUGGAGA
rnacentral:rRNA from 1 species